rnacentral:rRNA from 1 species
GAUGAACGCUGGCGGCGUGCCUAAUACAUGCAAGUCGAGCGGACGGACGCGAAGCUUGCUUCUCUGAUGUUAGCGGCGGACGGGUGUGUAACACGUGUAUAACCUACCUAUAAGACUGGGAUAACUUCGGGAAACCGGAGCUAAUACCGGAUAAUAUUUUGCACCACAUGGUUCAAUGGUGAAAUACGGUCUUGCUGUCACUUAUCGAUGGAUCCGCGCUGCAUUGGCUAGUUGGUAAGGUCACAGCUUACGAAGGCAACGAUGCAUAGCCGACCUGAGGGGGUGAUCGGCGACAUGAGAACUGAGACAGGGUCCAGAGGCCUAAGGGACGCAGCAGUAGGCAAUCGUACGCAAUGGGCGAAAGCCUGACGGAGCGACGGGGCGCGAGUGAUGAAGGCCUUCGGUGCGUAAAACCCUGUUAUGAGGGAAAAACAUAUGUGUAAGGAACUGUGCACAGCUUGACGGUACCUAAUCAGAAAGCCACGGCUAACUACGUG